rnacentral:rRNA from 1 species
GGGGACCCGCAAGCGGUGGAUGAUGUGGAUUAAUUCGAUGCAACGCGAAAAACCUUACCCACCUUUGACAUGUACGGAAUUUGCCAGAGAUGGCUUAGUGCUCGAAAGAGAACCGUAACACAGGUGCUGCAUGGCUGUCGUCAGCUCGUGUCGUGAGAUGUUGGGUUAAGUCCCGCAACGAGCGCAACCCUUGUCAUUAGUUGCUACAAUUAGUUGGGCACUCGAAAGAGACUGCCAGUGACAAAACGAAGGUGGGUGGGAAUGACAGUCCUUCCUCAUGGCCCUUAUAGGUGGGGCUACACACGUCAUACAAUGGCCGGUACAAAGGGCUGCCAACCCGCGAGGGGGAGCUAAUCCCAUAAAUCGGUCGUAGGAUCGGAUCGCAGUCUGCAACUCCACUGCGUGAAGUCCGAAUCGCUACUAAUCAUGGAAUGAAUGUCACGGUGAAUACCUUCCCCGUGUCUUGUACACCCC